rnacentral:rRNA from 1 species
GACGAACGCUGGCGGCGUGCUUAACACAUGCAAGUCGAACGGAAAGGCCCUGCUUUUGUGGGGUGCUCGAGUGGCGAACGGGUGAGUAACACGUGAGUAACCUGCCCUUGACUUUGGGAUAACUUCAGGAAACUGGGGCUAAUACCGGAUAGGAGCUCCUGCUGCAUGGUGGGGGUUGGAAAGUUUCGGCGGUUGGGGAUGGACUCGCGGCUUAUCAGCUUGUUGGUGGGGUAGUGGCUUACCAAGGCUUUGACGGGUAGCCGGCCUGAGAGGGUGACCGGCCACAUUGGGACUGAGAUACGGCCCAGACUCCUACGGGAGGCAGCAGUGGGGAAUAUUGCACAAUGGGCGGAAGCCUGAUGCAGCAACGCCGCGCGCGGGAUGACGGCCUUCGGGUUGUAAACCGCUUUCGCCUGUGACGAAGCGUGAGUGACGGUAAUGGGUAAAGAAGCACCGGCUAACUACGUGCCAGCAGCCGCGGUGAUACGUAGGGUGCGAGCGUUGUCCGGAUUUAUUGGGCGUAAAGGGCUCGUAGGUGGUUGAUCGCGUCGGAAGUGUAAUCUUGGGGCUUAACCCUGAGCGUGCUUUCGAUACGGGUUGACUUGAGGAAGGUAGGGGAGAAUGGAAUUCCUGGUGGAGCGGUGGAAUGCGCAGAUAUCAGGAGGAACACCAGUGGCGAAGGCGGUUCUCUGGGCCUUUCCUGACGCUGAGGAGCGAAAGCGUGGGGAGCGAACAGGCUUAGAUACCCUGGUAGUCCACGCUGUAAACGGUGGGUACUAGGUGUGGGGUCCAUUCCACGGGUUCCGUGCCGUAGCUAACGCUUUAAGUACCCCGCCUGGGGAGUACGGCCGCAAGGCUAAAACUCAAAGGAAUUGACGGGGCCCCGCACAAGCGGCGGAGCAUGCGGAUUAAUUCGAUGCAACGCGUAGAACCUUACCUGGGUUUGACAUGGAUCGGGAGCGCUCAGAGAUGGGUGUGCCUCUUUUGGGGUCGGUUCACAGGUGGUGCAUGGCUGUCGUCAGCUCGUGUCGUGAGAUGUUGGGUUAAGUCCCGCAACGAGCGCAACCCUUGUUCACUGUUGCCAGCACGUUAUGGUGGGGACUCAGUGGAGACCGCCGGGGUCAACUCGGAGGAAGGUGGGGAUGACGUCAAGUCAUCAUGCCCCUUAUGUCCAGGGCUUCACGCAUGCUACAAUGGCUGGUACAGAGAGUGGCGAGCCUGUGAGGGUGAGCGAAUCUCGGAAAGCCGGUCUCAGUUCGGAUUGGGGUCUGCAACUCGACCUCAUGAAGUCGGAGUCGCUAGUAAUCGCAGAUCAGCAACGCUGCGGUGAAUACGUUCCCGGG